GAUUAAUCGCUACAAAAUAAGCUUUUAUAGGAUUAGGUAGUUGGAAGUGUAAUGGACUAACAAGCCUAUGAUCCUUAGUUGGUCUGAGAGGAUGAUCAGCCACAUUGGGACUGAAACAAGGCCCAAACUUCCAUGGAGGGCAGCAGUGAGGAAUAUUGGACAAUGGGCGAAAGCUUGAUCCAGCAAUAUCACAUGAGAGACGAAGGCUUUAUGUCGUAAAUCUAUUACGUUAAGGAGGAUAAUGACGUGUACUUAAAGAAGAAGUCCCGGCUAACUUCGUGCCAGCAGCCGCGGUAAUACGGAGGGGACGAGUGUUACUCAUAAUAACUGGGCGUAAAGGGUAUGUAGAUGGUUCAUUUUGUUUAUUAUUAAAGAAUAAAUUAAUAGUUUAUUAUAAUAAUUAAUACGUUUGAUUAAACUAGAGUAUAAUAGAGGAAUAUGGAAUUUUUAGUGGAAGGGUGAAAUUUUACAAUAAUAAAAAGACGAUCAAAAGCGAAGGCAAUAUUCUGGAUUAUUACUGACAUUGAUAUACUGAAGCAUGGGGAGCAAAUCGCAUUAGAGACCCGAGUAGUCCAUGCCGUCAACGAUGAGUGUUGCAUAUUAAAUUAAAUUUAGUUUGUAAGCAAACGCGUUAAACACUCCGCCUGGGGACUACGAUCGCAAGAUUAAAACUCAAAGGAAUUGCGGGGAAGCUGUACAAGCGGUGGAAUAUGUGGUUUAAUUUGAUAUAACGCAAAAAACCUUACCAAUUUUUGAAAAGUAAAAGAGUUUAUAUUAGAAAUAAUAAUUAUAAUUUUUUAAAGAAAUAUAAAUUUAAAAAAUAGAGAAACUUUUAUACAGGUGUUGCAUGGCUGUCGUCAGCUCGUGUUGUGAGAUGUUUGGUUAAUUCCGGUAACGAGCGCAACCCUUAUUAUUUAUUUUAAUAAAAUAAAAUUGCUUACUAAAUGUAAGAGGAAGGCGGGGAUGACGUCAAGUCAGCAUGACCUUUAUAAAUUGGGCUACACACGUAUUACAAUGAUUGUAACAAAUAAGAGCAAUAGUGUAAACUAGAGCAAAAUUAAAAAAAUAAUCUUAGUACAGAUUAUUUUCUGAAAGUCGAAAAUAUGAAGGAGGAAUCGCUA
rnacentral:rRNA from 1 species